rnacentral:rRNA from 1 species
UACGGAGGGUGCAAGCGUUGUUCGGAAUUAUUGGGCGUAAAGAGCUCGUAGGCGGUCUGUCGCGUCUGCUGUGAAAACUCGGGGCUUAACCCCGAGCCUGCAGUGGGUACGGGCAGACUAGAGUGCGGUAGGGGAGACUGGAAUUCCUGGUGUAGCGGUGAAAUGCGCAGAUAUCAGGAGGAACACCGGUGGCGAAGGCGGGUCUCUGGGCCGAUACUGACGCUGAGGAGCGAAAGCGUGGGGAGCGAACAGG